rnacentral:misc_RNA from 1 species
CAUGUUAGGUGCUCCUGGCAUACCUCCAUGGAUCUCAAAAUUUUCUCCAUCUCAGCCUCUUUAGAUGGUUUCGGCACAAAUGGUUCUCCAGGAAUCCUAUCCUGAAACAGGAAAAAAAAUUACUACAAAUUGAACUCGAGCUUUAUCAUUCUUAAAUUGAAUGUGCAUACAGAAGCAAUAUCAAUAAAUAUGGUCAUAUAAGGCUAUGAGUGUUCUGCUCUUUAAGAAGAAAAUGAUAUCUUCAAGUUUACAUGAUAUUUAAUAUUAUAUGACAGAGAGUGACUAGAAAAGUGCAACAUAUGGGCAGAAGAACAUUUGAAGGUAAAGGAAAAAUAAAAAAUCAUUUGAUGAAAAAAGUAGAUGCACAGAGAAAUUAUCAUGGUUCAUUUUUUUUAAAACUAACAUUUAACUAAGAAUAAUUGUCACAGGGGAACAAACAUUUAAAAUGAAAAAAUGUUACAAAACAACUAUCCCAAAGUUGCCAAGAUAUUGUUUGAAGUCCUUGAUCAUACCUUACGGUGAAAUAACAUCACAGGACUCAUUAGAAAUUCUGGCAACAAUAUUAAUGAUUGUUCAACUGUUCAUGUGAUGCCAUAUGGCUUGGGACAACCCUAAUAUAUUACCAUCAGGACGAGAGGACAUAAUAAUUAGGGAAUGAGGCUUAAAUUAAUUAAAAUGAUAAAAUAAAAUAAAAUAAAAAAG